AUUGAACGCUGGCGGCAGGCUUAACACAUGCAAGUCGAGCGAGCGGCGGACGGGUGAGUAAUUUCUGGGAAACUGCCUGAUGGAGGGGGAUACCUACUGGCAACGGUAGCUAAUACCGCAUACCAUCAUAUGUGCCCCGAUGGGAUUAGCUAGUCGGUGGGGUAAUGGCUAAACUAGGCGACGAGCCCUAGCUGGUCUGAGAGGAUGACCAGCCACACGGGAACGGAGAAACGGUCCAGACUCCUACGGUAGGCAGGAGUGGGGAAUAUUGCACAAUGGGCGCAAGCCUGAUUCAGCCAUGCCGCGGGGGUGAAGAAGGCCUUCGGGUUUGAAAGCACUUUCAUCGAGGAGGCGUUACUCGCAGAAGAAGCACCGGCUAACUCCGUGCCAGCAGCCGCGGUAAUAC
rnacentral:rRNA from 1 species